UUUGCCUUAUACAUGCAAGUCGAGCGAGCUGAAUUCAAAGAUCCCUUCGGGGUGAUUUGUUGGACGCUAGCGGCGGAUGGGUGAGUAACACGUGGGCAAUCUGCCCUAAAGACUGGGAUACCACUUGGAAACAGGUGCUAAUACCGGAUAACAACAUGAAUCGCAUGAUUCAAGUUUGAAAGGCGGCGCAAGCUGUCACUUUAGGAUGAGCCCGCGGCGCAUUAGCUAGUUGGUGGGGUAAAGGCCUACCAAGGCAAUGAUGCGUAGCCGAGUUGAGAGACUGAUCGGCCACAUUGGGACUGAGACACGGCCCAAACUCCUACGGGAGGCAGCAGUAGGGAAUCUUCCACAAUGGACGCAAGUCUGAUGGAGCAACGCCGCGUGAGUGAAGAAGGUUUUCGGAUCGUAAAGCUCUGUUGUUGGUGAAGAAGGAUAGAGGCAGUAACUGGUCUUUAUUUGACGGUAAUCAACCAGAAAGUCACGGCUAACUACGUGCCAGCAGCCGCGGUAAUACGUAGGUGGCAAGCGUUGUCCGGAUUUAUUGGGCGUAAAGCGAGCGCAGGCGGAAUGAUAAGUCUGAUGUGAAAGCCCACGGCUCAACCGUGGAACUGCAUUAGAAACUGUCAUUCUUGAGUGCAGAAGAGGAGAGUGGAACUCCAUGGGUAGGCGGUCACAUA
rnacentral:rRNA from 1 species